rnacentral:lncRNA from 1 species
CCCGGAUCCAGUAUAAAUUCCGCCACAUGCGGCGUUGCGUUCUCUUCCUGGCCGCUCUGCUCACUUGUUCUGUUGAUGAACUUUGUGCGCGUCUUGCCGGCAUGUGCGGUUAUAAAUGGCUUUUCUACGUGGGUCGCGGGUUCGGUGUAGAGCUCGAAUGUUUGCAGCGAGAAGAGAGACCACAUCACCCGCUGCGGUUCUGCAAUGGCUGACUGCAGGUUCCUCGCUGUAGACGCUGCUUCUGUCCCCCCGGACCGGCGUGUCCCCGCUUGCAGUUUGGUGGCCGUGGAAGACCUGUUUAUCUCUCAGGGCCAGUGUAAGGGAACCACUCAGCUCUGCAGAACCCAGAGUGUCGCCGGAUGGACGUGGAUCUUGCAAUUUGGGUCCGUGGAUCCACUAUGCUGUGAUAAGUCUCCUUUUAUUUGCCGGAAUAGACUGAGCGUUGGAUGUUGGAACAUCAUUCCCAGAAAUCCCUAAAUAAAGACUUCUCCUAACAUUUC